rnacentral:piRNA from 1 species
AGAUUAUGAAUCACUGGUCAGAUAGA